GGGAAGGUGAUUCAGUGGUAGAGUGCUUGCCUUGCAUGCAUGAGGCCCUGGGUUCGAUUCCUCUGUACCA
rnacentral:tRNA from 1 species